rnacentral:rRNA from 1 species
AACGCGAAGAACCUUACCUGGUCUUGACAUGCAGGUGUGGCGCGGGGGAUGAAAGUCCCCCUCCUUCGAGGGAGGUGCACAGGUGGUGCAUGGCUGUUGUCAGUUUGUGCCGUGAGGUGUUUGGUUAAGUUCACCAACGAACGCAACCCCUUUGGUCCGUUGCCAGCGGGUAAAGCCGGGCACUCAGGGCACACUGCCUGUUCACGCAGGAGGAAGGUGGGGAUGACGUCAAGUCAGUAUGGCCCUUACGCCCAGGGCUGCACACGUGCUACAAUGGCCGGUACAGAGGGAUGCGAAGCCGCGAGGCGGAGCCAACCCCACAGAGCCGGCCCCAGUUCAGAUCGGGGUUUGCAACCUGACCUCGCGAAGGGCGCGCCCCUGGCGGGGGGGAGCAACGAUGUUGAAGUGA